UACGUAGGGGGCAAGCGUUGUCCGGAUUUAUUGGGCGUAAAGAGCGUGUAGGCGGCCUGAAAGGUCAGCUGUGAAAACUCGAGGCUCAACCUCGAGACGUCGGUUGAAACCAUCUGGCUAGAGUCCGGAAGAGGAGAGUGGAAUUCCCGGUGUAGCGGUGAAAUGCGCAGAUAUCGGGAAGAACACCCGUGGCGAAGGCGGCUCUCUGGGCCGGUACUGACGCUGAGGAGCGAAAGCGUGGGGAGCGAACAGG
rnacentral:rRNA from 1 species